rnacentral:rRNA from 1 species
CGAAAAUGUUGUCUCUCUUGAGUGGAUCCUGAGUACGACGGAGCACGUGAAAUUCCGUCGGAAUCUGGGAGGACCAUCUCCUAAGGCUAAAUACUCUCUAGUGACCGAUAGUGAACCAGUACCGUGAGGGAAAGGUGAAAAGCACCCCGGAAGGGGAGUGAAAUAGAACCUGAAACCGUGUGCUUACAAGUAGUCAGAGCCCGUUAAUGGGUGAUGGCGUGCCUUUUGUAGAAUGAACCGGCGAGUUACGAUUUGAUGCAAGGUUAAGCAGUAAAUGUGGAGCCGUAGCGAAAGCGAGUCUGAAUAGGGCGUUUAGUAUUUGGUCGUAGACCCGAAACCAGGUGAUCUACCCUUGGUCAGGUUGAAGUUCAGGUAACACUGAAUGGAGGACCGAACCGACUUACGUUGAAAAGUGAGCGGAUGAACUGAGGGUAGCGGAGAAAUUCCAAUCGAACCUGGAGAUAGCUGGUUCUCUCCGAAAUAGCUUUAGGGCUAGCCUCAAGUGAUGAUUAUUGGAGGUAGAGCACUGUUUGGACGAGGGGCCCCUCUCGGGUUACCGAAUUCAGACAAACUCCGAAUGCCAAUUAAUUUAACUUGGGAGUCAGAACAUGGGUGAUAAGGUCCGUGUUCGAAAGGGAAACAGCCCAGACCACCAGCUAAGGUCCCAAAAUAUAUGUUAAGUGGAAAAGGAUGUGGCGUUGCCCAGACAACUAGGAUGUUGGCUUAGAAGCAGCCAUCAUUUAAAGAGUGCGUAAUAGCUCACUAGUCGAGUGACACUGCGCCGAAAAUGUACCGGGGCUAAACAUAUUACCGAAGCUGUGGAUUGUCCUUUGGACAAUGGUAGGAGAGCGUUCUAAGGGCGUUGAAGCAUGAUCGUAAGGACAUGUGGAGCGCUUAGAAGUGAGAAUGCCGGUGUGAGUAGCGAAAGACGGGUGAGAAUCCCGUCCACCGAUUGACUAAGGUUUCCAGAGGAAGGCUCGUCCGCUCUGGGUUAGUCGGGUCCUAAGCUGAGGCCGACAGGCGUAGGCGAUGGAUAACAGGUUGAUAUUCCUGUACCACCUAUA